rnacentral:sRNA from 1 species
GGAAGCACUGCGCUAUGGAUAAGCAUUGAUCAGCAAUCCGCACUCCGGCACUCACAAUGGACGGCUUUGGGUGGCAUUGCUAUGUGGUGCC